UCUGUGACACCACUUAAGAUGUCGCGUCCCAAAUUUGGAGUGACUCAGGUUCAUGGAUUUCCUUUGUCAGAAUUAAGGUGAAAUGACACCAGGGGAGUUCAAACAACAAUCAACAUUUAUUCAACCUAGCUAACUUUGUCCAAGUACACAUGAACUUGUUAAUGUGAACCUUGCAACAUGUCAUUA